rfam:Triticum aestivum genome assembly, contig: Triticum_aestivum_CS42_TGACv1_scaffold_210487_3AS
UUAAUACUCCCUCCGUUCCGAAUUACUUGUCUUGGAUUUGUCUAGAUACGGAUGUAUCUAGACUCGUUUUAGUGCUACAUAUAUACCUCCGUAUCUAGACAAAUCUAAGACAAGUAAUCCAGAACGGAGGGAGUACCUG